rnacentral:rRNA from 1 species
UACGUAGGGACCGAGCGUUGUCCGGAUUCAUUGGGCGUAAAGAGCUCGUAGGCGGCCACUCAAGUCGAAUGUGAAACCUCGAGGCUUAACCUCGAGCCUGCAUUCGAUACUGGGCGGCUAGAGUCUGGUAGGGGGAUCUGGAAUUCCUGGUGUAGCGGUGGAAUGCGCAGAUAUCAGGAGGAACACCGGUGGCGAAGGCGGGAUCCUGGGACGGUACUGACGCUGAGACGCGAAAGCGUGGGGAGCGAACAGG